rnacentral:rRNA from 1 species
GAUGAACGCUAGCGACAGGCUUAACACAUGCAAGUCGAGGGGCAGCGGGGUGUGGCAACACACUGCCGGCGACCGGCGCACGGGUGAGUAACGCGUAUGCAACUUGCCUAUCAGAGGGGGAUAACCCGGCGAAAGUCGGACUAAUACCGCAUAAAACAGGGGUUCCGCAUGGGGAUAUUUGUUAAAGAUUCAUCGCUGAUAGAUAGGCAUGCGUUCCAUUAGGCAGUUGGCGGGGUAACGGCCCACCAAACCGACGAUGGAUAGGGGUUCUGAGAGGAAGGUCCCCCACAUUGGUACUGAGACCCGGACCAAACUCCUACGGGAGGCAGCAGUGAGGAAUAUUGGUCAAUGGCCGGGAGGCUGAACCAGCCAAGUCGCGUGAAGGAUGAAGGUUCUAUGGAUUGUAAACUUCUUUUGUGCGGGAAUAAAGUCGGGGAUGCGUCCCCGUUUGCAUGUACCGUACGAAUAAGCAUCGGCUAACUCCGUGCCAGCCGCCGCCGUAA